rnacentral:sRNA from 1 species
GCAGUGGGGCGUCCGCGUCUGGGCUGCGGGCUUCCAGGCGGGCGCCUGCCGAGGCCCUGUCCCCGGAUCCCGAGUCCCUGGCUGGCCCGCAGUCUUCUUCCACUGCACCGGGGAAACGUUCUUGCCCCUACCGACUCCUGAGAGCCGCUGGGCCGAAUCUCCAGGAAGGCGAUUCCGAGGCCAGUUUUAGUCUGUAGUGGGUAAAGUCCCUCCUUCGUGGAGACUCCCUGGGUUUCUCCUAGACACUUAGAUUGAGGAGCUCCUGUUGGGGCCCAGCCUGUGGCGCCGGGAGCGGGAUCAGACGUGGAAACUGAGACCCACAGAGGUUGAAUAGGUUGUCCACAGUCUCGUAGCUACC